UACGGAGGAUGCAAGCGUUAUCCGGAUUCAUUGGGUUUAAAGGGUGCGUAGGCGGGCUAUUAAGUCAGUGGUGAAAUCCUGCAGCUUAACUGCAGAACUGCCGUUGAUACUGAUAGUCUUGAGUUUGAUUAAGGUAGGCGGAAUGUGUAAUGUAGCGGUGAAAUGCUUAGAUAUUACACAGAACACCAAUUGCGUAGGCAGGUCUCUGGGCAGUUACUGACGCUGAGGAGCGAAAGCAUGGGUAGCGAACA
rnacentral:rRNA from 1 species